UGGGGAAUUUUGGACAAUGGGCGAAAGCCUGAUCCAGCAAUGCCGCGUGUGUGAAGAAGGCCUUCGGGUUGUAAAGCACUUUUGUCCGGAAAGAAAUCCUUGGCUCUAAUACAGUCGGGGGAUGACGGUACCGGAAGAAUAAGCACCGGCUAACUACGUGCCAGCAGCCGCGGUAAUACGUAGGGUGCAAGCGUUAAUCGGAAUUACUGGGCGUAAAGCGUGCGCAGGCGGUUUGCUAAGGCCGAUGUGAAAUCCCCGGGCUCAACCUGGGAACUGCAUUGGUGACUGGCAGGCUAGAGUAUGGCAGAGGGGGGUAGAAUUCCACGUGUAGCAGUGAAAUGCGUAGAGAUGUGGAGGAAUACCGAUGGCGAAGGCAGCCCCCUGGGCCAAUACUGACGCUCAUGCACGAAAGCGUGGGGAGCAAAACAGGAUUAGAUACCCUGGUAGUCCACGCCCUAAACGAUGUCAACUAGUUGUUGGGGAUUCAUUUCCUUAGUAACGUAGCUAACGCGUGAAGUUGACCGCCUGGGGAGUACGGUCGCAAGAUUAAAACUCAAAUGAAUUGACGGGGUCAUAGCUG
rnacentral:rRNA from 1 species